AAAGCCAUGACUAUUAAAGUGUUAUCAUAGUGCUUUAAAUGCAGAGUGUGGAUGCAACCAAAGACUAUCAUAUUGCUAUAGUAUCUGCCCCUCUGAUCUCAAAACCCCAUGCUGUUAUUAAUUAGAAUCUCCUUGUGAGGCAGGAAAAGAGUUCCCAAUGAGUUUGACACAACAGCAGAACUGCAUUCUGGGCUUUCGGAGAUAGGAAUCGUUGGGACUGGUUAUGAAGAACUAGUUUUGUCUUCGGCAGAAAAGAUGUUUCUGUUGGCUGAUUAUUAAGACACCUGAGGCUCUCAGGAAAACAUAACAGAGCACGCUGAUAUACACAUGGUUUUUCUUCCUAAUGUCUGCCAUGCUGGAGAACACAGAAGGCAGAGAGUUGCAUGCUAACCUAUGCAAUGUCAAGCCACUGAAACCAGCAAUGGCCAUCUUGCAAAGCUAAAUAAACCAAACCUGAGUCCA